CUAGAGGGCAGUAUAGUGCCCUAAAAAUAGAAAGUUAAGAAUAACAAGAAAUCCAAAUAAGGAAACCAUGACAUGGGAAAUGAUAGAAUCUGAAGACAAGCUUCACAUACUUCAAAACUGGUUCUGGAUGAAGUCCAAUUUGUGUGUUUCGGCAGGCAGUAAGGAAGAUGUUUCUUGUGUCUGAUCAAUAACACAGAAGCAACUGAAGAAACAAUAUGUGGAUGCUUCAAAGAUGAGUGAAAACAUUUCUUCCAAUACCCACCAUUCUCAAUUACAAUUGAUGAUACUACUCUGGAGUACUUUUGCACCUGUUGAAAUGUUAUGUUGAAUAAUAAAUGAUAUCUGCUAUGAAGACAAAAGGAAAUUGUAAGUGAUGUGGUAAUCUUUAGUGCAAACCAGGAAGAUAGUGGCAAAAUUGUGAGAGAAUUAAGGGAAAAUGCAUUGUUUGCUCAUUCAAACUUAUUCCCGUAAACAUUUACAAAUAUCUUAUUUUCUUAAAAAGGUAAAACUAUGACUGACAGUUUAACACCUAAUUUCUUAUAAAUUGCUAUUAGA
rnacentral:lncRNA from 1 species